GGCAGGGUCACUUGCACUGGCCAGCAUUGCUGGCUGGAUGUAGAGCGGCAGAGGCAAGCCUGGCACCAAGUAUCAAGCUGUGAUCCUGACUACAAACUUGCAUCCUCCAACUAGCACAGGGCCUGACACAUCCAAGCCCAAAGAAUAGGCAGGUUGGCAGAGCAGAGGACUUUCUAAUGGAACCCUACCAGUGAUUGCUGAAGGCUAAUUUGAGUCAUCGGAUAUGGCUGAAGCCGAGAACGCAGGAAGAAAAUCUUUCACGGAGGGGACUGAAUGGGUGAGAUGAAGAGAUUCCUGAUGGCUGACAGAGGCAAUGCUACCAAGAGCAAAGUUAAGAGAAUGAUGAGUUUUGACCAAGGACCAUGUUCCAGGAACAUGACCCCAGUCAGCGUGGGAGACAGACUGAGCUUGCUGUGGGGCCGGGUGUCUGGCCAACUCCAAGUGAGUAAUGUAGCCAUUUUGUCUGGUUUCAUUCAAACAACGGCUGGUACAAAGCCCCGGACCACAAGGCUUCUACAAGAUAGUGAAAAGAGUGCUUAUCUGCUGCUUGGUUCAAGAAGGCAAAGUUAACAAAUUUAACAAAACUAAUAGCCAAACAGCAGCGAUUAGCAUCAGAUGAAAUAGGGAGCUCCAUGAGAGUCCAGACUAGCAGCUGGCAAACAAUCAAACAUUCCCAUCACACCCAAGGGAAUGCCUCAUUUCACACUGCCCCAGCUGAAGUGACAUUUGUAAGAACAUUAGGGAGCAGCACAUAGAACUCAGUGAGUAAUCCUAGCUGUGCAGUAGCAGGACUCU